rnacentral:ncRNA from 1 species
AAAAAUGCGUUGAAGAGAACUAGUAAGUUCCGGAAUGUUUCCAGAGAGCUGCCGGGUGGUGUGAGGCAGCAGCGGCACGGAACAGAACUCAUCUCUAAGCAGCUCGCUGAAACAAAAGGAGUAGGUGGAGCCGGGGCCUGGCCGUUAACAGACAGGAGGGUAUCGACAGUUGUCCGUACCUGUAGAGAGCCUAUCUUCGGAUAGGAAUUAGAGUGGUAACGCGUAAGUAUAAUCUUUCGUCUCUUUG